rnacentral:lncRNA from 1 species
CUCCUGCAUAGGCCCUGCCCACAGGGAUGAUUGUGAAAGAUUGCUGAUCCCAGCCCCCUACGUGAUGUGACUCUUCUCUUCUGCCUGGGUCUUAUUUUCUAAGCACAUUGUGACAUAAUGCUGAGCUGACAAUCAGGUUCCGUGACUCUCCUGUCUGUGCCCUGCCUACAUGGAUUAUUGUGACAUAUUGCUGGGUCCAACACCCAGGUUCUGCCUGUAGAAAAGAUUGUAACAUAAUGCUGGGCCCAACUUCAAGGUGGCAUUACUUUUUUGACUUGGCCUUGCUCUCAGAAGACAUUAUAACAUACUGCUGGGCCCAGAACCAAGGUGAUGUUAAGUCUUCUGACUAAAACCUACCCACAGAAGACAUUGUGACAUAUCUCUGGGCCCAUCAACUAUUUGAUGUGACUCUACUCUUAUCUGAGUUUUUUUAAUAAAAGAGAUUUUGACAUAU